rnacentral:rRNA from 1 species
AACGAACGCUGGCGGCAUGCCUAACACAUGCAAGUCGAACGAGACCUUCGGGUCUAGUGGCGCACGGGUGCGUAACGCGUGGGAACCUGCCUUUAGGUUCGGAAUAACUCAGAGAAAUUUGAGCUAAUACCGGAUAAUGUCUUCGGACCAAAGAUUUAUCGCCUUUAGAUGGGCCCGCGUUGGAUUAGCUAGUUGGUGGGGUAAAGGCCUACCAAGGCGACGAUCCAUAGCUGGUCUGAGAGGAUGAUCAGCCACACUGGGACCGAGACACGGCCCAGACUCCUACGGGAGGCAGCAGUGGGGGAAUAUUGGACAAUGGGCGAAAGCCUGAUCCAGCAAUGCCGCGUGAGUGAUGAAGGCCUUAGGGUUGUAAAGCUCUUUACCCGAGAUGAUAAUGACAGUAUCGGAGAAUAAGCUCCGGCUAACUCCGUGCCAGCAGCCGCGGUAAUGUGACUACUG